CGGCCUGUAACAGCAGGAGCGGGGCCAGCAGGAUGAGGGAAGCGAUUCUGCCCCUGUACGCGGGCCUGCAGCUGCUGCUUCCAAGGACAGUUCAGCCACAAGCAACCUCUGGUUGACCAGUACUGCUGGUCAGACUCCACAGUCCUGGACAGUCAGGAUAGCAGCACCACUGAGAGUCUGCCACCACCAAGAGCAGCUUCAGUAGCUGCUGGUCCAAACUGACAUCAUGAGGAAGUGUGGGCUCUCCCACUGCUCCAGAAUGUGAGGAACCAAAGUGCCCUCUCUGCCAAAGUCUUCUUUCCACUGCAGAUAAAAACAGCACCAGAGGUAACCUGACUGGCAUCAGGUAAAGACACCAGCACAUCUCUUGGUUACAAAGCAAUACCCCUCCUGUACCUUCUAACACGGACUGUACACAGCCUGAGCACUCAAAUCAACAUGGUAAUAGGAUUAUUCACUUCAGAAAGCCUUCACAAGCCAUUGCUCCAAAGAACCUUGGGUGCUGCAUGCUCCAAACAGGCCAAGCAGUUACUGCAGAAGCACACAACCUUAUUUGAAGCCAGGCCUUUUUAAUCCACAUUAUGUCCGUGCUGAUAAACAUGCAAGGCCAUGCAGGACAAAGAUAAAAUGGUGUGCUCUGGAAAGCAAUAAACACACAUUUUAGCAACUGUUUAAUCUUUCAUAAAACAGGAAUACUUAGCAUAAGCUACAGGCUAAUUAUUUGGCCUCAAAAUACUUUGCAGAUUCCUGUAACUAAUGAAAACAGCAAACUUCUGACAUAUAAUGAUAUACAUUUCUAUCCUUUAGUUGUUUCAAAGCAUCUACUCAUUUAAGAAUACUAGAGCAGGAAAGACAUGAAGAAAACGUUAUCCUGCAGGAGCCUACAGAAGAGAAUUCAAUUAAACUGAUUUCACAGUGCAAGUUUUCAAAGGUGCCUAGUGAUAACAGAUAAACAGCAAGAUGCUGCUUAUCUGUGGUCAUUGCACACACUCGAAACUAUCCCUAAUACUAUCCCUAGAUGCCAUACUCUUAAUUCUUCCAGCAAUUUGGUCCAGUGCAGUGAAAUCAUGCAUAAAGCUGCCACACUGUAUUACGGGAAAGAGCAGCAUGUAGGUGGAUUUUUUUUUCUGUAUUUAAUGAAAUAUAUUUUCACAGAAUCACAGACUGGCCUGGGUUGGACCUUAGAGAUCACCUAGUUCCAACCCUCCUGCCACAGGCAUGAGCACUUUCACUAGACCAGGUUACCCAGAGCUCCAUCCAACCUGGCCUUGAACAUUUCCAGUGAUGGGGCAUCCACAUCUUUUCAGGGCACCCUGUUCCAGUGUCUCCUCACCCUCACAGUAAGGAAUGUCUUCCCAAUAUCUAAUUAAACCUACUCUCUUUCAGUUUGAAGUCACUCCCCCCUUGUCCUGUCACUACAUGCUCUUGUAAAUACUCUCUUUAUAUGAAUCUAUGCUGCUUCCUAGAAGUAUUUCCUCCCACUGUAUAAUACUGAGUCUUGUAUAUAAAGAACAUUUAAAAGUAUAUCCAUGGGUGCAAUUGUUGCUUUAUUGCAGCAAUGCCAGAAAUGCUGCUAUAAAGCAGCAUAUCUAGAAUUUCUGCUGCUUCCUACUUCCAUGACUCCUACUAACAACUAGUCAAAAUAUCCCAUGGACUCUCCAUUCUAAUCCAGCAGUAUAUUUAGAUCCAUCACAUUUCUUACCUAACCCUAGCAAGCCACUUAGACAAUUUGUAUCUGCUGAACAUGGCACACCAGUGCAGCUCUGCACUAUUGAGGUUCUAAUACAGAAACUCUAUCCAAUAUAAAUACAAGAGCUCUGCAGUGUUCUCUGGCUUUGUAAGCAACAAGGAAUUCUCAGUAAAACUAGUGUCCUCUUCCAGGAACACAAACAGCCCUUGAAAGGCAAGUAAUGUUAAAUAUCACCCCCUCUUCCCACACUUGAUGUAGACACCUCCAGAUGUUUGACUUCACCUUAUAUAGGGGAAAAUGCCUCUGCAGCUUUGGUGCUGCCCAGUACUCAACAGGUAGGAGAUAAUAGCAGAUAAGCAGAAAAACUGAUAUGCAGAGCUGUGAAAUAAUUUUGCCAUUGCUCCAUUUCUUGGUAUUAUGCUGAGCUCAAAACAUUCAGUUUAUUUUGAAAUGGUAUUUGGCCUCCAGAAAUACAAUCUUUAAAAUUUUCCAUUAUUGAGUAACUUUCUGCAUAAAAUUUCUCAAUUUAUGGUUACUUCAUAAUGAAGAAAUUAAAACCAGAUGCACAGUUUAAAAAAAAAAAAGCUGUUAACUAUGCAAUUCUUUAGUUCCAGCUACUAAUUAAGAACUGAAAUACCACAGUAAGAGAGCUCUAACUUAACAUUAUGCUUUGUAAAAGCUGUUUCCUCAUCUGUUUCAGAAAACAGCUUCUUUUAUUUUUCACCCUGAACUUCAUUACACUACCAAGAUUCAAUUUCUUCUUUAAUUUUUUAUUAUUUGUAUCAUCAUUUCUGCCAAGAACCUCACUCAUUGCCCAGGCUGCACAGUGGCCAUUAUUCCCAAGGCACGCAGAACAAGAACACUGAUCCUACCACAAAACCUUUCCACUCUGGAUGUAAAAACAUGGAUAGUGACGUCCAAGGAAACAAAAUGAUGCUGAUCAGCACGCCAGGCAAUCAAACCCCAGUCAUUUGUGAUUUGUGAGGUACAGGCCUUUGUGAAGCUUUUUUUUAGAGUUCUGAAGAUCAGUGUGGCUGCUGUGAAGAUUUUUAUGAAGACCUUUACACAAGCAUAGGGGAAGGCAAGGAAAGAAUUAAUGCACUCAGCAGAAAAGUGAUGUGAACACUGUAAUAGGCUGGACUUGGCAUCCUACUGAGGAAGUCACUGACACAAAGCAGUCACAGGUACUGAAGGGCCCUCAGAAACAAACUCAAGUAACUCAGCUUCACUCAAUAGAGAGGGGGCAGACAGAGAAGAUGCAGAGUUUUAACUAUUUUUAAUCAAUAUAAAAUAACCUGUUUAAAAACAGUCAAAGCUAUGCUGCAAUUAACUUUCUUCAAUAUGCACAAGAUAGCUACAGAGCCAUCUGACAGUUCUUGGAUGAAGGCCUGUGGAACUAACAGUAUCAAUUCUCAACAUACAAAGGGGGGGAUACAAUUGAGCCAGUACACACCUCCAACCCCUCCAGUCAAGACCAGGGUCAACACAAAUUGUGGUGGAAGAGUGCACACACACAGACACACACACGCUUUCCCACCUGAAAAGUAACAGGAGCACACACCACUCUGCAUUCACUCCAGCACAGACAGAAGCCACUGGUACAGUGCUCAUCAGCUGUGUCAGAAACAGCCACAUAACUUACAAGCUUACUUAUCAAUUUCUAUGCCAGGGGAGUACACAGCACACAAUAAGGCAAACCAGUGAAAUUUAAAACAAUUUAUAAAAUACUGUUAUUUAAUUCCUGUUCUCUACAACCUCCAUAUUCUUUCCAAAAAUAAAAUGAAGAGAUGAGAUUUCUGAGAAGUUCACAAUGGAUAGUUCUGGAAACAAACUUCACCUGGGAUCUGUAAAGCAGUGCAAAUGCUAGCACAACAGUUGGAUUCGAAACCAGUCUUCCAUUAAAAAAAAAAAAAAGCAAAUACAGAUACUGUAAGCUACAUCAAAAUAGCUGCAGUUCACAUUGCAUGACUGGCCUGAUUUGCUAUUUUCUUUCAUGACUUGUAAAAUACCAGAGUAAGAAACAGCACAAAGGCUUUUUCUUAAUAAAUUUUAAUAUUAAGACCAAUUUGUCUGGAUAAAAACAGUUACAAGUACCACACUCCUGCAAAUUCUGCAUGAUGCACAGUAGUGCUUGCAACAUUUGAGUGGCAAGACCAUUUUGCAACUGUUUGUGAAAGGUAUGUCAAAAACAGAAUCUUGGCAUAAGUAAGAAUGUAUGUUACCAGUGAAUUUAUUAUUGUGAAAAUAUAUCUGUCCCACAAUGUACACCACUGUAAAUAAUCAAAUGCAAUAUUUAUGCACAUCAAAAAUAUAUGGGGCGAAUAUAUACUCAGUUCAGCAUUAAAUCAGCAACAAUAAAUGAAAAAAAUAUUUUGGCUAUUUUUCUAUGAUUUCAUUUCACUGGAAAUUUUCUAAUAAAUCACUCCAAAGGGUAAUCUUUGUGGUUCAAAACCAUCAGGAUAACAGUAAUUCUGUAAAAUAGUAUGGAUCUGAGAGUGACAGCCCAAUCCUCCUGCCACUAAGUUCAGAUGCAUUUGGCUUGUGCUCGCUGCCUUAGAACACGAGUCCAGACACCAAAAGAAUGAAGUACCCCCAUCACAGCCUGGACCACAUUAGCUCAUACCAUGUCAGAUCAGAGAUACAACAUCAAUAAAAGGAGAUGACACUUUAAAAGCACCUGCCAGAUUCUCAAGUAUUAAUUAUAUACACACAUGGUAAAGUACAGAAUACUGAAGGAGAGUGUACUGAAUAGCAAGUUAAAUGUUCCAUCCAUUUUCUCAUUACUGCAAUGGAUAUUCACAUUUUCCACAUUGGUCCAGGAAAGAUACUGCAAUCUAAGCAUGUGAUUUGAUGCUACUUAAAGCUUUGAGAUACUGUUAUGUGUUUUCUUUAUCUACAUAACCCCCACCCCCACCCCCAAAUAUUACUGCAAAAGAA